rnacentral:rRNA from 1 species
CAGCAGCCGCGGUAAUACGUAGGGUGCGAGCGUUACUCGGAUUUACUGGGCGUAAAGCGUGCGCAGGCGGCCCGUUAAGACAGGUGUGAAAUCCCUGGGCUCAACCUAGGAAUUGCGCUUGUGACUGGCGGGCUCGAGUACGGUAGAGGGGGGUGGAAUUCCUGGUGUAGCAGUGAAAUGCGUAGAGAUCAGGAGGAACACCGAUGGCGAAGGCAGCCCCCUGGGCCUGUACUGACGCUCAUGCACGAAAGCGUGGGGAGCAAACAGGAUUAGAUACCCGGGUAGUCCACGCCUAAACGAUGGGUACUAGCCGUUUGGUGCGCGAUAGCGCUGAGUGGCGAAGCUAACGCGUGAAGUACCCCGCCUGGGGAGUACGGCCGCAAGGUUGAAACUUAAAGGAAUUGGGGG